rnacentral:rRNA from 1 species
UACGAGUGCUCCAAGCGUUAUCCGGAAUCAUUGGGCGUAAAGGGUGUGUAGGUGGUAAUGUUAGUCUUCUGUUAAAUUCUUCGGCUCAACCGGGGACAUGCAGGGGAAACGGCAUUUACUAGAGGAUGCGAGAGGCACACGGAACUCAUGGAGUAGGGGUGAAAUCCGUUGAUAUCAUGGGGAACACCGAAAGCGAAGGCAAUGUGCUGGCGCACUCCUGACACUGAGACACGAAAGCGUAGGUAGCGAAUGGG